CCCACGUCCUCCCAUCUCUCAUCCCUUUUCCCUCUUGAACCUCCCACGCCGCAUCUUAUCUUCUCCCAUCCCCCCGCCACCACGCGCCAACCCCGCCGUCGCCCGUCGAUCCGGCUGCGCACUUCCACCCUCGUCUCUCUCCCAGUCUCCCUGGUCUAGCAACAUCACAUGUGAUCUUCCUCCCAACGCGAAAGUGUCCUUUCGAUCUUUGUCUUCGUGGCCCGCAGAUCUGGCAGGCCCUGGCCACGACGCUGCCAGAUCUUGCCGGACCUCGUCGCCCCAUCCAAUAGGUGCUCGACGCCACUCCUCAGGACCGCGGCGGUCUUCAUUUGUUCUCUCCCCUUAACCUCCUACGCCAUGUAUUGGCCCCUUCCUGAAGCUCCUCCUCAUCCGAGUGGCCGCCUGAUGUCGUCGAGUAGACCACUCUCACUCCCGCUUCACCCUCCUGUACCAGGGUGCAGGAUUUGCUCAUGUAGUUCAAGUUGAAUACUGGGGAGAUGGAGGAGAUGGUGCCAUGGAGGGCUACUUUGGUGGUGAGAUUCAGGUUCUACAGCGAGGCCAUGGUUGUUUGCAUGUCUGUUUAGGUCUCUUUUGUAUGGUUGUUGAAAAACAAACCCAAGCCUAUUAGUUUGGAAAAUAAAGUCAAGCCUAUGUAUUUAAAAAUAGUUUCAUUAACUAGCAAGUGGCCAUUUGGCGGUGAGGUGUGCUAGCUAGCUUCUGUUGAUGCAUGUAUGUUUGGUCAAGGCUAGCUAGUUGCAGCAGUUGGCAUUACUAAAUAAGAGAAGAGACAAUAUGUCAGCGUGUGUGAUCAGGAUUGGGAUGUAUACUUGAUACUACUUGUAUAGCUUAACUUGCAAUCCCUGCCAAGGAAACCAAUUAGCAUUUAGCACUGAAGGGGUCCUCCAUUCA